GCAGAUGUAGCUUAGCGCGGAACGAGCGCCCUUUCCCGGAGGGAGGUCACAGGUUCAAAUCCUGUCGUCUGCA
rnacentral:tRNA from 1 species